rnacentral:lncRNA from 1 species
CUUAAAUGAAAAGUGUAAUAUCCUCUUUCUCUAUUAAGAUGCUUCAUAACUACAGUAGGUGACAGUUCUUAAUGACAAUUGUUCCCUGGAGAAUUCUGAAGCAAGAAUUUACUUAACAUAUUAACUAGUGAACCAGUAUUUCACAUUAUCCUUGCUUUGCUGGACCACACUUACUUAAUAAGAAACAUAAAAGAGUCUUGUGCUCAUGACAUUUUUGUUAUGUUUUUCCUUUUUCAAUUCUGCCUUUUCCUUGUCUGUGUCUGAAUGUUGGCCCUUUUGACUGCUGUUUGCUUUCAGAGUUCAGCUGCAACUGAUGAUACUUCACACGCUCUCUCCUUGUGGCAGCAGCUACAUGAGGACUAUGAGAAAACAGGCUUACAUAAGAAAAGGACAUACUUCCAACAAAUCUCUAUGAACUGGGACACAAGGCCUGAGUUCUACCAUGUUAAAUCCAGUAAGUGAAAAAGAAAAUGAAGGACAACUCAUAAAACUAGUAUGAUCAUUUUCCCCUACACGGGAGGCAGUGAGCUCCAGCAUAUGGAUUUCCUACUACUUUUCAUCAUCUGAAGGACACCAACGAAUCAAGACAAGCAUCCAUAAAGAAUCCAGGUUUUAGUGGCAUAGAUUCAGUCUUCAGCAUAUGUGCCUGCAGUUAUUGAUGGAUGUGUGGUCUGAAAUACUCAUACAGGCUCAAUGAUAUCAUAUAUAAAAAUAUUUGUGGCACAUAUUUAUUAUAUUCUAUCGGAAAAGGGUUGAGGAAAACAGCUGAAUGCAUAUACCGUAGCAAUUCUGUUUUGAGGACAUAUACACUUAGCUGCAAAAUUACCUUUUUUUUUUUCCCCUAUUUGUUGUAAAGGAAACCUGUGUAUCUCAUAUUACAUAUAGCUGUUUACUGUAGAACACAGCCUACUGGUAUGUCCUGCCAGAAUACUUAAGAUAUAUCAAUUUAGCCUCUUCUGAUGGGCUAAAUUCAUACCUCCUGUGUACCCUUUCAAAAAUUAAUUGGUAUUACUCCAGCAAUGAAUUUGGCUUAGUACUGGAACAAGCCUGUUGUUCAUCCAGAUGGAUGUGCUUCCUUGAAUGCUGGCCAAUGCCUCAUGUUUGAAAGGCAAAAUAAACUUCUCCUCGUAAACCUGUAUAGCA